CUGCGCGGUCGCUCGACCUCCUGGCCUAUAAAUAGGACCCCCGAGACCUCCUUGACCUCCACAACACCACGUCCCACUCCCAUCUCCCCUCGGGCUCCCAGUAGCCCGAAUUUGGUCGAGGAACCGCCGCCGUUUUCUCCGACGCCGGCGACGAUUUCAGUCGCUGUAAAGGAGCUCGGGAGCAUCCGCGGCAACGGGAGCCAAACACGCCGGCGCUGCGGACGUCGCUCUCUUCGCUGUCCAACCUCGUCGGGAGCUGACCACCGGUGGAGCUCUGUCACGUCUACCAGCACCGCCUCCAAGCCUCGCCCAAACCGUUCGACGUUUGUAGCUCCGUUUUCGUCCACGGCCGAAGCUGCAAAAUCCAUCGCCGGCCACACAUCAUAUUACGGAGAUUUAUCGUGAGAGUAUUUCGGAGACAAGAAAGAGUUAAUAGUUCAUCAAGAAAAGGCAAGUUACAUCUACAUGUCUAUCCCAUUUAUUUUUGCUAUGCUAUUUUGAUUAUAAAAGUAGGAAUGCAUGCGAUAGUUUUAUUUUGUUAGCCAAGUAUUUUUAGAAAUGGCGAUGUUUUAUAGUUAUGUCCUAUGGUAGAAAUAAGCCGUAGGGAUUAUCACCCACUUUGUAACCUUAGGUAAAUAUAUGCUAGAUUAAGUUCUAGUAAAGUUUUGAACUAUAUAGUUAUGCUUAGUCAUGCUAAAAUAAAAUCCGUUGGGGGGUUCAAAUGAAAUAAUGUUUACGAAAUAGAAAUGCUUUGUGAAAUGUGUUUACCAAAUUAAAAUGUAAAAUUAUUUCAUCCUGGGCGGAGUGGUAUGAUGGGUCAUCGCGUGUGGAGCUGUGUGCUCAAAUUGGUUGGGUCCGCCGCCCAGGGACCCCUAAAAGAACAAAUUCAUGUUUA